CCGCGAUCCGAUUAGCCAUCCUACUCCCGUAACGACGCCUGAUCUCGCACGACACACCUCCGAUCCUCCUGUCAAUCCCGCGGCCUCCUCCCUCGCGACACGCUCCCCCACGACUCCCUCCUCCCUCCUAGGCGACGGCCGACGGAUCCAGCAGCGGUGCCGGCGCCGGUGCCGGUGGCUCGUCUCCCCACUCGUGCGCAGCGGCGGCGGCGGCGGCGGCGAAUCGGCCCUGCCGCCGCUGCAUCGCACGGCGUUCGGCGUGGUCGAGGCCGCUCAAGGCGCCCACGCCGGCACGCACCGGCGGCUCGGCGUUGAGGACCACAUCGCCUUCCAUCCCUCCCUUCCCCAAUCCCCUUCGGCCAUCCGCAUCGCGCCGCCCUCCGAAUCCUCGCUCCUUCUCUCCACGCUUCCUUCCUCAGCGGAGGGCGAGCAUCCAGAGCCAUCGAUAGGGGCUGAAGCGGAGCAACAGAUGUGGUGGACGCGAGUUCCCCGUUCGCAUCGCCUGCCAUCCCGAUCCUUGCUCCCCCGGACUGCGAGUAGGGGUCUGAGCGGCGGCGGGCUGGAGUUCGGUCCUACAGGAGCUUCUGCAGAUGGAUCUAAGUCCUAGCAAUAGCCGAUGCACAUGCGGAAGGGGACGGAGGGUCCGCUGGCUGCGCUGGGCGUGUGACGAUGCUCUUCGUGCAGUAUUCCCAGCCAACAUCCGCUUGAUGAAAUGCAUAAGCCACACAUUCCUAGAUCUCCUCCCCCCAUCUCUCAAGUGUUCACACGAUGAGUUUAAUCCUUUUUGCUAUCUGCGUGUGAGCCGUCAACUCUGAAUGUUACGAUCUUUGUUGUGCGUAGGAUAACUUGAAGGCUCUUGCUGAUCCCUGCAUCGAUUGUGAACUCAUGAUCAUCUUGAUUGAUCUGAUCCUGCAGAAGACAAGGGCGUACCACCAUAUUCUGUUUAAUAAACUUAGCAUGUGGGAUUAUCUAUUGACAAGGUAUGAAUCUAUGAUGUCCAGACAGAUUAACAUUCCAUCCUCACUGGUGUUCUUAUUGGCAUUUGAGGCAAUUAGUUUGCUAAAUAUGUAAUUGGUACUGCUGAGCUACCAUUUCAUUGUUUGCAUAUGGUCAUGUAAUAGUUAUAAUGCACCUUUUUUUGUACGCCGGUGCAUAUACUAGAGUAACAUGGUUCCUGGAUAAUGUGGAAAAGAAUCUGGCCAAUAUAUAUAUAUAUAUAUAUAUAUAUAUAUAUAUAUAGGAUAUAUUUAUUCUGACUUUGUUUUCUGGAUAAUCCUAUCUUUGUUUUCUGACUUAGUGGGCAUUACUCUGUAGUAUGUUGUUCAAGUAAGAAAGGAAUAUAAUUCACAAGGUGAAGAAUUCUAUCACAAUGUACCCAUUCAAUUGCCCAAUGCCCGUGUCAUCUGUUUGUUGUCUUCUCAGGUUAGUGGAUAUGCCUGUAAGACAACUAGCAUCAAAGAUGGUGUAAAUCAGUUUGAUCUCCAGCAGAGGAAGCAGUAGCUUGUUUUCAGGCAUUGGUUGACUUUCUAUGCUCCCUUAUGAACAGCAAUGAUGAUGGAAGAAUAAUUGUUGCAAAGCAAAAGCUCAAUCAACAAUCUGAAGAAGCAUAUCUUAAAUUUGUGAUGCUUUGUGCGGAAAAAUAUUUUCAGAGGUCACUCGAGAUGCUUAUGUUGUUAUCCUGGCUGGUGGAAACCUCCAGCCUAUUGAAGAAACUAGGCUACGCUUGUGUCCAAGCUUACCACCAGCUGAUAUAAAAUUCUUUCAGGCAAGUAUAAAAUUUCACAAGCCCUGAAUUUUGCUUUCUUAACAGUUCUUGUUGGUGUUAAUUUCUGGUUCUUGCCUAUGAGUGUGUUGGAACAACUGGUUAUUGCAUGAGCAGCAUGCAUUAUUACAAUUGGUCACUUCUUUUUACCUGUACCUAUCACCAGCUGGUUCUUUCUUAUAUGGUUCUCUGAAAGUGCUAAAUUUUGUAAGAUUCAGGUUUUUUCUGUGGUUACAUGAUCUUUAUUUUAUUUCAAGGUUUACUCUUAGAUGUACAAUAUUUAUUUGGUUUAGGAUUUAUUCUUAUUUCAGAAUUGUUAUUUAUAUUUCAGGUUCUCCAGUGUAGAUUUUUUUUUUCUGCUAUACAGUGUGUAACUGAUGUAAAAUAUAUCAAUGUAUUUUAGUGUCAUGAAUUUUUUUAAGUUCCGUAUUAGGCCUCCAAUGGAUAGCAACAUGGAGUGGAGGAUAGAGGAAGGCAAAAGGCAGCUCGCUAAAAAAUAUUUCUUGUGUUGUUUGUCGAUGAAUUAUAUUACUACUAGAUUCUUCUAUUUUUCCUUCAUAAUCUUAUUGAGGUCAAUUCAGUAAUAGAAUAUGCCUGGUAUGAUAAGAAUUUUUUUUGGUGAUUUAAAUAGCUGAACUUUUAUAUUUGAUUCAUCAAAACUACUACACACGGUUUCUUAGUAUAAAUGAAGCCCUAAUUUAUUUAUAGAAAAAUUCAGGCAUUGAACCCAGUCUAUUUAAGGUUCAAGCAUUUAUAGAAAAACUACUACACCUGAAUUAAGGUUCGGGAGGCACACUUUGCUAAUGUGCAGAUUCAUAGCAAGGUUGUGAAACAUGUAAUUUUAAACCCAAUCUAUUUAAAUCAGGUUCUCCCAAUUAUUUACAUGGAUUAUUUUUCUGCCCCUAUAUUUUAGAAUCUUACCCUAUUGUCAAAGAGGUCUACUGUCUAAUAGGUAUGCUAUCAAACAUAUUAGUUUCAAAUUGUAGCUUUUGAAUUAGUUUCUAAUUUCUGUAUUGGAUAUCUAGACCAAUAUUUUUCAGAUGUCAUGGCAAGGAGGGGUCAAGGUCUGGUGCUACUGCCAGGACAUCAUAUUAGAUUGUAAUUUCAGUGACAUCAUGUAGUGUGAUGUGAGAAAUGUCUUCUUCAUCCAUUGCCAUGGAUGGAUGGCAGACCAAAAGGCAGUACUCGUGGUGUUGUAACACUUUUAUAAUGUUCUAUCCAAUUCAAGCUUUUAAAUUUAUUACUUUGCGAGAAACCAAACUACCGAGUUGUACUCACAUUUUCUUAUCCCAAAGAAGGAACCAAGUUGAACAAGA